GCAGCAGGCGCGCAAAUUACCCACUCCCGGCACGGGGAGGUAGUGACGAAAAAUAACGAUACGGGACUCAUCCGAGGCCCCGUAAUCGGAAUGAGUACACUCUAAACCCUUUAACGAGGAUCAAUUGGAGGGCAAGUCUGGUGCCAGCAGCCGCGGUAAUUCCAGCUCCAAUAGCGUAUAUUAAAGUUGUUGCGGUUAAAAAGCUCGUAGUCGAAUUUGUGUCUCGCGCCGCCGGUUCAUCGUUCGCGGUGUCAACUGGCGUGCCGCGAGACGUCCUGCCGGCGGGCCCGCUCGUAAAAAGGGCGGCCCAAUCCAAUCCCGCCGCGGUGCUCUUCGUUGAGUGUCGAGGUGGGCCGGCACGUUUACUUUGAACAAAUUAGAGUGCUUAAAGCAGGCUAAAACUUCGCCUGAAUAAUGAGUGCAUGGAAUAAUGAAACAGGACCUCGGUUCUAUUUUGUUGGUUUUCGGAACCCCGAGGUAAUGAUUAACAGGAACGGAUGGGGGCAUUCGUAUUGCGACGUUAGAGGUGAAAUUCUUGGAUCGUCGCAAGACGGACAGAAGCGAAAGCAUUUGCCAAAAACGUUUUCAUUGAUCAAGAACGAAAGUUAGAGGUUCGAAGGCGAUCAGAUACCGCCCUAGUUCUAACCAUAAACGAUGCCAGCUAGCGAUCCGCCGACGUUCCUCCGAUGACUCGGCGGGCAGCUUCCGGGAAACCAAAGCUUUUGGGUUCCGGGGGAAGUAUGGUUGCAAAGCUGAAACUUAAAGGAAUUGACGGAAGGGCACCACCAGGAGUGGAGCCUGCGGCUUAAUUUGACUCAACACGGGAAACCUCACCAGGCCCAGACACCGGAAGGAUUGACAGAUUGAGAGCUCUUUCUUGAUUCGGUGGGUGGUGGUGCAUGGCCGU
rnacentral:rRNA from 1 species